UCUUAGAGUUUGUCUACCAGCAGAAAGAGGUUGAAGUAAAAUCUGAAUGGCAUUAUAACUCACCUUAUUAACACAUGAACAGAACUUAGCUGGGAAGUAAAUCUUACUUCCCAUAUGGAUAGACUAUUUUUCCCUCCAGAUAUGUGUGAAUUAUUGACAUAUAACAGUAAUUUGAAGAGGAGACUUCUUCCUCAAGCACAUCAUCAGUGAAAUAAUGGAACACUUCAAGAGUUGACAUGGCCCGAAUCCUGAUCUAUGUCACUUGAAAACCUCAGGACGUGACCUCAUCCUUCCCUCUGGGACGAUCCAAUGAACAAGAGAAAAAGUGAAGUUGUCAUUACCACAUUUGCUCAUAAGAGAAGAAAAUGUUUAUCUUAGCAGCUUCAGAAAGAAAAAUUCAAUAUUGAUUCUUGAUAAAACUCUUAGCAAUCUAGGUCCAGAAAAAAAACAUUCAUCGCUGACAAAGAGCAUCUGUAAAAAGCCUCCUGCCAACACUACAAUUGAAAAGCUGAGAGCAUGUCUUGAAUAUCAGGGACAAAGAGAAUCUAUUGUCAUCAUUGCUUCAAUAUUGUGCUGGAGGUCCUGAACAGAAGAACCAGAAACAAAAUACUUUUUAGUGCAGAUAUUGUGUUUGAAUUUAUGGAAAUCAUCCCCCAAAAAACCCUGUAAAACAAAUUAUUGGAAUUAGUAAGACAGUUUUUUUUAAAUGCUGCAUAAAAAAUAGCCCUUUGUAUUUGUACCUGGAUCCAACUAACCACAAAUUAAAAAUAUUUUUUGAAGUUGUGUCUGUAC